rnacentral:rRNA from 1 species
CAGCAGCCGCGGUAAUACGUAGGGUGCGAGCGUUAAUCGGAACUACUGGGCGUAAAGCGUGCGCAGGCGGUUUUGUAAGACAGGCGUGAAAUCCCCGGGCUCAACCUGGGAAUGGCGCUUGUGACUGCAAAGCUAGAGUGCGGCAGAGGGGGAUGGAAUUCCGCGUGUAGCAGUGAAAUGCGUAGAUAUGCGGAGGAACACCGAUGGCGAAGGCAAUCCCCUGGGCCUGCACUGACGCUCAUGCACGAAAGCGUGGGGAGCAAACAGGAUUAGAUACCCCGGUAGUCCCUGUCUCUUAUAC